AAUCAGGUGGGACUACCCGCUGAACUUAAGCAUAUCAAUAAGCGGAGGAAAAGAAAAUAACUAUGAUUCCCUUAGUAACGGCGAGUGAACAGGGAGAAGCCCAAAUUUGUAAUCUG
rnacentral:rRNA from 1 species